rnacentral:sRNA from 1 species
CGCCUCUAAGUCAGAAUCCGGG